rnacentral:rRNA from 1 species
GACGAACGCUGGCGGCGUGCUUAACACAUGCAAGUCGAACGGUAAGGCCCUUCUUUUGUGGCGUGCUCGAGUAGCGAACGGGUGAGUCACAAGUAAGUAACCUGCCCUUUACUUUGGGAUCACUUCAGGAAACUGGGGCUCAUACCGGAUAGGCGCUCCUGCUGCAUGGUGGUGGUUGGAAAGGUUCGGCGGUUGGGGAUGGACUCGCGGCUUGUCUGCUUGUUGGUGGGGUAGUGGCUUACCAAGGCUUUGGCGGGUAGCCGGCCUGGGAGGGUGACCGGCCACAUUGGGACGGGGUUAGGGCCCAGACUCCUAGGGGGGGAAGCGGGGGGGAAUAUUGCACAAUGGGGGGAAGCUGGAGGCAGCAACGCCGGGGGCGGGAUGACGGCCUUCGGGUUGUAAACCGCUUUCGCCGGUGACGAAGCGUGUGUGACGGUAAUUGGUAAAGAAGCACCGGCUAACUACGUG